rnacentral:misc_RNA from 1 species
ACCCAUUAUAGGGAAAAAAAUUAAAAAAUAAAUAAAUAAAAUCCAGGCGUGGACUUGCUUUUACACAGUUUAUCACUUCGCUCUUUGAUUUCUGUCUUCAAGAACAGUCACUGUGGUUUAAGAUGCUGUGAUUGUGAAGUGGAUUUUUGAGUUCUGUUUCAUUUUGUCGUUUGGUAAGAUCUUCGAUUUUAGGGCACAAAAUGUGGAAUGUUGCGCGAUUUGCGGCUUCCAGUUUGCGCCGACCACGGAGUUUCUCGACGGCGAUACCUGGUCCAUGUAUUGUUCACAAGCGUGGAGCUGAUAUUCUCCAUGAUCCUUGGUUCAAUAAGGAUACUGGGUUUCCUUUGACUGAGCGAGAUCGACUAGGGCUACGUGGCCUCCUUCCACCUCGUGUUAUAUCAUU